rnacentral:rRNA from 1 species
UACGGAGGGUGCGAGCGUUGUCCGGAAUCAUUGGGCGUAAAGGGCGCGUAGGUGGCCACUUCAAGCGUGCGGUGAAAGUCGGGGGCUCAACCCCUGAUCGGCCGUGCGAACUGGGGGGGCUGGAGCACUGUAGAGGCAGGCGGAAUUCCGGGUGUAGCGGUGGAAUGCGUAGAGAUCCGGAAGAACACCGGUGGCGAAGGCGGCCUGCUGGGCAGUUUUUGCUGACACUGAGGCGCGACAGCGUGGGGGAGCAAACAGG